rnacentral:rRNA from 1 species
AGUGAACGCUGGCGACGUGGUUAAGACAUGCAAGUCGAGCGGUAUUGAAGCCGUAGCAAUACGGUGGAGAGAGAGCGGCGAACGGGUGCGUAACACGUGAGGAACCUGCCUUGAAGUCCGGAAUAGCCCAGGGAAACUUGGAUUAAUGCCUGAUGUGGUGAAGAGCGGCAUCGCUUUUUUACUAAAGCUUGUAAUGGCGCUUCAAGAGGGUCUCGCGGCCUAUCAGCUUGUUGGUGAGGUAACGGCUCACCAAGGCGAAGACGGGUAGCUGGUCUGAGAGGAUGAUCAGCCACACUGGAACUGAGACAC